rnacentral:rRNA from 1 species
AUGGCGGCGGUGGCGGACGUCGACCACUACGAGGUGCUCCGGCUGCCGUCGGGCGAGGAGGGCGAGGCGCUGAGCGUCGAGCAGAUCGACAAGGCCUACCGGGCGCAGUCGCGGCUGCGGCACCCGGACAAGCGCCCCGACGACCCCGCCGCCACCGCCGACUUCCAGGGCCUCGUCACCUCCUACAGGCUCCUACGCGACGAGUCCCUCCGCCGCCAGUUCGACGCCCGCCUCCGCGCCCGCCGCGGGGCCGCCGCCCGCGCCGCCGCCACCGGGGUCAAGCGGCGCAGGGCCGUGUCGGACCUGGAGGAGCGCGAGCGCGCCUUUGCUGCCCGUGCGGGAGCAGGACCGGCCUUCGACCCCGCGCAGCUGGCCAGGCGGGAGGAUAAGCGCAAGGCUGCGGACGUUAAGCGCGAGCUGGAGGACUUCUUCAGGAAGUCCGUCGCCUCUGGCUCUGCUUCCACUUCGGCACAUGGAGAUAACAAGGGUGGAACCCCAGAUAACAGAACAAAAACUGACAAGGGGAAGGUCUUGAAGGUUUCAUGGGAAGGGGGUGCAGAUUACUAUACUGCUGCAAAGUUGGAUGAGAUCUUUAGGCAAUUCGGCGAGGUUGAAGACAUUGUUAUCAAGACCAGGAAAUCAAGGAGCAAGGGUUCAGCAAUUGUUGUGAUGGCUUCCAAAGUGGCGGCUCAAACAGCACUGAAGAACCAUUCUGUGUACAACGUCUUCCCAGUCCCAUUAAUGGUUGCUCCCAUCGAAGAAUUGGUUGGGUCACCAGCAUUCGCAGCUCCAACAUCUGAACCGAGGGCAAGCAACGUUGAUGGAACUGGAUUCAGUGAUAUGGAGGCAUCGGUGUUCCGAAAACUUCAAGAGGCCCAGAAAAGGAAGCAAUGUGCAUAA